UUGCUCCUUGCUCAUCCUUUCGGCUUUCCGCCGAUUCGCCCGAAUAAUUUCUUCGACUACCCCAGUUCAAAUAUCCCUCCUUGUCGGUUCACUUCCAUCCUCAUGCGGCUCGCGCGUGCGAGAUUUCCCCCUCCAUAACCUCCCCAACUGGAGCAUCGCCGUGGGAAGGGCGGGAAACGGAGCCUUCUCGGCGCGAACCUUCUCUCUCCUCUCUUUCGGCGCGAACAUUCUCUCUCCUCCCUCGUGGCCGCCUCUCAUCUCUGAUCUCCGGCAUCUAGGGCUGAGAUCCGGAAUUUCUUGCCCGAAUCCAUGCCGGAAGGCAGAGCCCUAGAUAUCCUUCCCCAGAUCCAAGCUCUCGUCUGCGAUAAACUCCACGUGGUUUCGUACAAGUGGCUCAGUCGCAACUUCUCAGUGUCUUCAAAUCAUGCCAAAAGGUUGCUUCAGGAGUUUGUUGACAAGUAUGGACAUGAGUUGGAAGUCAUAUACCAACUGUCUGGAUGGUUAAAAAGCAAUCCUCAGACAUAUCAUGUACAACUUGCUUCAGGCCUUAAACUUGCAGAAGUGAAAGAAGAAUUUAAAGAUAAAUGUUCCGUUCAGGUUUAUAGCGUCCAAGCUUGCAUCCCUGAGGAUCUUGCACUGCUUUGGAAUGCUGAAUUUGUACAGGCAGAGGAGUUCUUUAGUCAGCCAUUGACUGAAGAAAAUUGCUUGAGGGAUAACAGGUUUUGUAGUAUUUCAACUUCCUUCGUCAAGCGUACUCUUGAUGGGGAACUUGGUGCUGCUCCAGCUCAGCCCAUUAAUGGUAUGGGAGUACCUGUGAAAUCAAAAUUUAAUAGUAUUGUAAAAGAACAGCCUGUUCAACCUCCUCAAAAAGGACAAGCAGGAAAGUUGAGUACAAAGAAUGGAAUGCAGUCUACCGCAGUCACUAGUGAGAAAAGUGAUAAGAUUGCUCCAGAAGUUAUUGAUAAGGGCAGUAAGCCUUCAGUUGUCAAAGAAUCUGGCAUUGCUGUUCGCACCAACAAAACAAAAGGUCAAAGUGAGAAAGCCUUAUCUGGAAGUACUGGAUCACUAGCUAAUUUGUGGGGCCGUGCUUCAGCAAAAUCAAAGCCCACUGGUUCUGCUAUGGAAACAACUAUUGAUGUUCCAGACACUGCUGUUACUGCAGAUGCUCAAAUUUGUGCACAUGAAGCAGCAGAUGCUGCCAGCAGUGAUGAUGAUGUGCCUAAUAUAAACUGCAAGAGGGAGUCAAAUGGUGCAAACAGCAGAAAGAGAAGGGUUGUUAUAGAUUUUUCAGAUGAUGAUGAGGAAAAUGUGGUAAGUCUUGCAUCUCCAGAUCUUCCUAUUGGUCAGAAAAAGGAUUUGGAUAUUGGAGAGCAGAAAAGAGACAUCUUGAGGGAUGAUCAAGAAAACGUCAAAGGGAUAAAUUCUGGAUCAUCAUCAGAGGUGGACAUAAGAAGUGAAAGCAAGAACAUGAUUGCUGGAAUCUCCUUGCAACAGAAGACUCAUGACCAUGCCCCAGAAAGGAUCACAGAUAAAAAUCAGUCAACCAGUACUGCUACCACUUCACCCAAAAGGAAAAAAGUACUAAAGACACGAAUUGAUGAGAGAGGGAGGGAAGUGACUGAGGUUGUUUGGGAAGGGGAAGCUGCUGCCAGCAAUAAUGCUGAUAAGAAUAUAACAACAAGUGAUGCUGGGAACAGGCCUCCUGUGGCUAAUAAAGCUCAGGUAGGGGGGAGCAGUGGCCCGGCUAAUCCAGUGAGCAAGGGCGGUAACAAGAAAUCAGCAAGAGGUGGUGGGAAGGAUACCAAGCAAGGGAACCUUCUAGCCUUUUUCAAGAAGAUUUGAAUGCAUUUUUAUGAGGAGAGCUCCUUUAAGCAAGAUGUAAGUCCCUUGCUAAUCUAGAUUACUUUGCUUCAAUGCCGUAGUAUGUGGUACUGGAAAAUUGGCAGGAUAAAAUAACAAGUGCUUGGAGAAGUAUACCAAACCGCAGUUAUGAUAGUCAUAUCUCAAAGUUAUCAAGGUUUUCUUGACCCCUGUUUGUCAAAAAUGUUUUCUUUUGCGCUAUGAAAACCUUCAGGACUAUCACUUUGCUUAUCUACUCGGUCUGGUAUGAGUGUUCAAACUUGAAGAGUUCAAGAUAUAUUUCAUUUCAUUUCUGAACAGCCUGUUUUGACUACAAAGAAGACAGCUUGCUUCUCGGAUGCAAGAAUUUGAAUCCAAAGAACAUCUACCUUUAGAACAUCGGUUCUGGGGAUAUUUAGUCUUUAACGUACUAGGUUAUUGUUUAAUAUGCUAUUUUCUUGCUUGAUCCUAUCCAAGCUGGAAAAUCACAUUAUGUGGAUAAUGAGUACACUUUCUUUGCUUCGCUUUAGUAAUCUAUAGCAUGAGUUCAAAAACUUGGACUGCGGCGUUCAUGUAAGAUUUACCUUCGGGAUAAUGGAAUGCUCCUUUUUCUUUG